UGCUCCCCCCCAAACGCAGAUGUUAGCUCUGCAGAAGAAGCAUCCACAGAGGAGGAGGGAAAAGGCUGAAUUCUUCUUUUAAAGCUAACUUCAAGGAGGCAGCUGCAUCUUGUAGCAAAGACAAUGCACCUAAAGAAGAAGAAGAAAAAUGAAAGAAUGAAUGAAACUAGUUUUCUACAGGCUGGCAGAAAGGUCAUGAUUGUUGGAUGGUGGAUUGGAUUCGAAGAGAUGGUGACUUGCCUUUCAGAAGCCCGAAAACUCAACAAAUCCAGUGAUCUGUACUGAGAAACUGGACAGCUGGAUAACAAGUGGUGUCCCAACGUGCUAGGAAGAGGGAUCCGCCCCUUAUGACCAGCACAUACUCCAGCUCCAGUAGCUCCAGCUACUUCUCUAAUCUCUCCGAAGGCUUGCUCCAUCCCUCACAUCUGCACAAUGAGUGCCUGGAGCGCUGCUGUGUGCUCCUCGUAAGGAAAUAAAGUGCCGCACAGGCAUGCA
rnacentral:lncRNA from 1 species